UUCAUCAAUAUCUCCACUCCCAAAAAUCUCUCCAACAAACAAAUCAAAUCUCUAUAAUAUAUGUACGUCCCUCCCCACAACUUCAUCUGUUAGCAUCCGCUGUUUCAAAUUUCAGUGCAAUUUUCUUCUCUUCCACAAAAGAGGAGAACCGAGAGAGAGCCCUCAAUUCCUCUUGUUUGCUAGCAGCUUUUCUUCAUUUCAAAGGUUGAACGGCGAUGCGCAAUUGGUGGUGUUGAGCAAUUAAAAUUGAAGUAUUAUUUGGUUAUCUUUGAACUACGAGUGUCGUUGUGUCUCCACACAUGACAUCACUCUUUCUCUUGAACGCUUCCGCUGAGACAUUGUUUUUACUCAUCAUUUAUUUAGCUUUGAACCUAAUUAUUUGGAUAUUUGAAAACUUGAUAUCUUUUGGAUAAUGUUAAA